rnacentral:rRNA from 1 species
CCUGCCCUUUAGACGGGGACAACAUUCCGAAAGGAGUGCUAAUACCGGAUGUGAUCAUCUUGCCGCAUGGCAGGAUGAGGAAAGAUGGCCUCUACAAGUAAGCUAUCGCUAAAGGAUGGGCCUGCGUCUGAUUAGCUAGUUGGUGGGGUAACGGCCUACCAAGGCGACGAUCAGUAGCCGACCUGAGAGGGUGACCGGCCACAUUGGGACUGAGACACGGCCCAA